UCCUUUGAUUUUGAGGAAGGUUUAAAGCUAGUGGCACUUUUAAUACAUGCUAGUCAAACGGGGAAUAAAAAUUGUUACAAAACCCCGUGGCAAACAGGUGAGUAAUGUACCGAUUUUGCCCAAAAGUAAGGGCAAAAACCCCAGGGGGAGCCAAAAGGAGGUUUUAAAGCCUUUUUCCUCUUCCCUGAAAUUGAGGGAACCCAUCUCAGGUGUUCGUUUGCUUUUGGAGAGAUCGGAAUUCGUAUUAGACGAGGGGGAGGGAAUCCUAAGGAUUCCCGGCUUUUUCCUCUGUCAAUGAUGCGUAGCUGAGAGGUCACAGUUAUACUGAAACAAGGAUAACCAUGUUGAUACAUGCCAGCAGUAGAGAAUUUUGGGCAAUCAACGAAAGUUGGACCCAGAGAUGUCGCUUUUUGGGAUUUGUGCAGAUCCGAAAAGGGGGGGGAGAGCCCCCAAAAGGGCGGGGGGCCUUUGGCGCCCCGGGAAUCCUCCUUUUUUUCCCCCUUCCGGGCCCCUUUUCCCGGGGAAUUCGUUGGAUUCCCCCAAGUCCGUCAAAAAGACGUGCCAGCAGACGCGGUUAGACGUCUGGACUAAGUUUUAGCCAAAAAACAGGCGUAAAGUGUGAAGAGGGUGAAUGAAAAAGAAGACGUGGUUUUAAAAGAAAAAAUCCCGCUUUAGAGAAAAAAAAGGUAAUUGGAACUUUUAGGUAUUGGUGAAAUAAUUCGAUCUAAAAAGGAACACCGGAGACGAAGGUUAAUUACCAAAAAGUUCUGUCGCUUUUUUCACGAAAACAUAGGGAGCAAACAGGAUUAGAUACCCUGGUAGUCUAUUGUUGUAAAAGCUGAUCUAACGCGGCAAAUUUUUUAUGUCGCCUUGAUAACUCGAAAAGAUUCCGCCUGAAUAGUACGACCGCAAGGUUGAAAUUCAAAAAAUUUGGCGGUUCACUAAUCCAAUUAGAGGAGCGUGUAGUUUAAUGCGAUGAUCCGCGAAUAACCUUACCAGAACUUGAAUAAAAGGAAUAGACGGGAGGGAACAAUUUAAGAAAAUUUUGCGGGACCCUUUGGGUCCCAACGGUUACCCCCUUUCUGCAUGUGUAAACGCAUUCCUUUUACAGGUAUCGCACGGCCGUCGUCAGUUUGUGUUGUGAAACUAUUUUAACGAACUUAACCCCUUUUUUAGAUAAAAAGGGUGCUCAAAAGAGUGUCCCCUAAUUUUUGGGGGGGCGCCUUAGGCGCCGGGAUCCUUUGGAUCCCUCCCUUCGGUUCCCCCCCUUUUUUUAUCUAUUUUUUUGGGAUGACGUCAGGUCCUCAUGGUCCUAAUGUUCUGGGCACCCGGGCGCCAACGGCGUCCCCCCUUAUGCGCUACAAUCUUUUUUACAAAAAGGAAUAUUCUCUUCGUUUUCAAUUUGUUUUUAAUAAAAAAGCUCGGAGAAAGAUCUGAAAAGUUCUUUUGAAGUUGGAUUUAAUAGUAAUCGUAAAGUAGAGCGUUACGGUGAAUAUGGCUCUAGUGUUCGUACAAAUCGCCCGUCAACUCGGCCGAGUUUUUAAUGUUGAAGAAAUCUAAGAGCUUCUCGGUAUAUAUCCAGGGAUCCUUUGGAUCCCUCCAACCCUGUUUGGAAUUUUCCCUCCGCUUUUCCGAAAAGCUUUUUGAGCCUCAAUAAAGGGGGUCCUUAGUACCCCCUUGGCCGAUUUUUAGACUUUCGAAAUUAGGUUGAGUAAGUCGUAACAAAGCAAGUGUACUGGAAAGUGUUCUUG
rnacentral:rRNA from 1 species